rnacentral:rRNA from 1 species
AUGCAUCGCCAUAGACUUACUCAAAGCGACCUGGAGUGCAUGCUACGUGAUGAAAAGGUAGAACCGAAGGCCUUACCAUUAAUACUCCUGGAAGAUAUCACUAAUGGAUUUUCUGAUGAGCGGGAAAUUGGCAGAGGUGGAUUUGUGGUGGUCUAUAAGGGAAUGCUUGAGAAUGGGGCAGCCGUUGCUGUCAAGAGGCUAUCCAAUACACAUAUGUGUGAUAAAGAAUUCGAACAAGAGGUUGAAUGUCUGAUAAAGGUGAAUCACACAAAUGUGGUAUGAUUUAUUGGAUAUUGUGCUGAUUCACAAGGGAGAGCGGUAAGCAACAAUGGAAAAAUUGUUAUUGCGGAUGUACGACAAAGGUUGCUCUGCUUUGAAUACCUGGAUAACGGAAGUCUUGAUACGUAUAUCGAUGAAGCAUCUAGUGGACUUGACUGGAGAAAGCGCUACCAAAUAAUCAAUGGGAUUUGCAAGGGACUACACUACCUCCACCAAAAUCGAAUUCUUCAUUUGGAUCUUAAACCUCCAAACAUUUUAUUGGAUGAUAAUAUGUUACCCAAAAUUGCAGACUUUGGUUUAUCAAGGUGUUUUGAUGAAAAGCAAAGUCGCGCUUUUACAACAAAUAUAGCUGGAACAAUGGGAUAUUUGCCACCAGAAUUCGAUAGCGGUACAAUCACAUACCGGUUUGACUUGUACAGUCUUGGUGUUAUAAUUAUGGAGAUACUGACCAGAAAGAGGGGGUAUAAAGCUGUUGAGGAUAUACUUGAAAGUUGGAGCAUCAGAUUGGAGCAAUCACAAAAGGACAUACAAUUGAAACAAAUACGAGUAUGCGCUGAGAUAGGAAUAGAGUGCAUGGAGUUCAAUCCAUUGAAAAGACCGGUUACACAACAUAUAAUCGCUCGGCUCCCUGAAACUAAGGAUGGUCCUAUUGAACCUGCCGGUAUCUUCAACGCCGCAGGUAAUGUUAUAUCGAGGAACAAGACAUCCUCCAUCAACCUUAUAUUUAAGUGA